rnacentral:rRNA from 1 species
CUGCUCAGUAACACGUGGACAACCUACCCUUAGGACAGGUAUAAACCCGGGAAACUGGGUAUAAUCCCUGAUAGUCCUCGACUGCUGGAAUGCAUCGAGGCCGAAAGCUCCGGCGCCUAAGGAUGGGUCUGCGGCCUAUCAGGUAGUAGUGGGUCUAAAGUACCUACUAGCCUACGACGGGUACGGGUUGUGAGAGCAAGAGCCCGGAGAUGGAUUCUGAGACACGAAUCCAGGCCCUACGGGGUGCAGCAGGCGCGAAAACUUUACAAUGCCGGCAACGGCGAUAAGGGGACCUCGAGUGCCAGGUUACAAAUCUGGCUGUCGUGAUGCCUAAAAAGCAUUGCAUAGCAAGGGCCGGGCAAGACCGGUGCCAGCCGCCGCGGUAACACCGGCGGCUCGAGUGGUAACCGUUAUUAUUGGGUCUAAAGGGUCUGUAGCCGGCCGGAUAAGUCUCUUGGGAAAUCCAGCAGCUCAACUGUUGGGCUUCCAGGAGAUACUGUCUGGCUCGAGGCCGGGAGAGGUGAGAGGUACUUCAGGGGUAGGGGUGAAAUCUUGUAAUCCUUGAAGGACCAC